UGACGUAUUCAAUUGAGUCACGAUGCAUUGUCGGCCAGUAAUAUCCUUGGCGAAGCAGCUUGUGGGAUAAGGAUCUAGCCUCCAGGUGGCUUCCGCAGAUCUCUUCAUGCACCUCCCACAAGGCGUAGUCAGCUUCCGAAGGCCGGAGACAUUUUAAAAGGGGCAAAGAGUAUGAUCUCUUGUACAAUUUAUCCUCAUAAAGGAUGUACCGGGAG
rnacentral:lncRNA from 1 species